rnacentral:tRNA from 1 species
CCCUGGUGGCUCAGAUGGUAAUGAGUCUGCCUGCAAUGCAGGAGACCCAGGUUCGAUCCCUGGGUUAGGAA